ACCAUUUUUCCAAAAUAAAAUAAAUCUGUUCUUAUCAGUUUAAUAUCUGAUAUGUCCUCUAUCUGGGGACAAUAUAUGAAAUGGAUUUUUCCACGGUCAAGUAGGUUAU
ensembl:snRNA U2 U2 spliceosomal RNA